rnacentral:rRNA from 1 species
UUCCUACGGGGGGCAGCAGUGGGGAAUCUUCCGCAAUGGGCGAAAGCCUGACGGAGCAACGCCGCGUGAUCGAAUGAAGGCCUUCGGGUUGUAAAGAUCUGUUGACAGGGACGAAUAAGCAAUGCGAAUAGUUUUGUGUAUGACGGUACCUGUUUAGAAAGCUCCGGCUAACUACGUGCCAGCAGCCGCGGUAAUACGUAGGGAGCAAGCGUUAUCCGGAUUUAUUGGGUGUAAAGGGUGCGUAGAUGGAUAAACAAGUUGUUUGUGAAAUACCUCGGCUCAACUGAGGAACUGCAAGCAAAACU